UUUGUUUUCAUAGUUUAAAAAAGAAUUAAGGUUUGUGGUGCCUUAGGUGUARAUAGUUACUGAAGACCGU
rnacentral:tRNA from 1 species